GACGAACGCUGGCGGCGUGCCUAAUACAUGCAAGUCGAACGCAGUGGCGGACGGGUGAGUAACACGUGGGUAACCUACCCAUCAGAGGGGGAUAACGUCCGGAAACGGGCGCUAAUACCGCAUACUAUCAGAUGAGCCUAGGUCGGAUUAGCUAGUUGGUGGGGUAAAGGCCUACCAAGGCGACGAUCCGUAACUGGUCUGAGAGGGUGAUCGGCCACACUGGGACUGAGACACGGCCCAGACUCCUACGGGAGGCAGCAGUAGGGAAUCUUCGGCAAUGGACGAAAGUCUGACCGAGCAACGCCGCGUGAGUGAAGAAGGUUUUCGGAUCGUAAAACUCUGUUGUUAGAGAAGCGGUAUCUAACCAGAAAGCCACGGCUAACUACAUGCCAGCAGCCGCGGUAAUUC
rnacentral:rRNA from 1 species